rnacentral:rRNA from 1 species
UACGUAGGGGGCAAGCGUUGUCCGGAAUCAUUGGGCGUAAAGCGCGUGUAGGCGGUUCGGUAAGUCUGCUGUGAAAGUCCAGGGCUCAACCCUGGGAUGCCGGUGGAUACUGUCGGACUAGAGUACGGAAGAGGCGAGUGGAAUUCCCGGUGUAGCGGUGAAAUGCGCAGAUAUCGGGAGGAACACCAAUUGCGAAGGCAGCUCGCUGGGACGUUACUGACGCUGAGACGCGAAAGCGUGGGAGCAACAGG